rnacentral:rRNA from 1 species
AUUGAACGCUGGCGGCAGGCCUAACACAUGCAAGUCGAGCGGAUGAAGGGAGCUUGCUCCUGGAUUCAGCGGCGGACGGGUGAGUAAUGCCUAGGAAUCUGCCUGGUAGUGGGGGAUAACGUCCGGAAACGGGCGCUAAUACCGCAUACGUCCUGAGGGAGAAAGUGGGGGAUCUUCGGACCUCACGCUAUCAGAUGAGCCUAGGUCGGAUUAGCUAGUUGGUGGGGUAAAGGCCUACCAAGGCGACGAUCCGUAACUGGUCUGAGAGGAUGAUCAGUCACACUGGAACUGAGACACGGUCCAGACUCCUACGGGAGGCAGCAGUGGGGAAUAUUGGACAAUGGGCGAAAGCCUGAUCCAGCCAUGCCGCGUGUGUGAAGAAGGUCUUCGGAUUGUAAAGCACUUUAAGUUGGGAGGAAGGGCCGUAAGUUAAUACCUUGCUGUUUUGACGUUACCAACAGAAUAAGCACCGGCUAACUUCGU